CCAUGAGCCAAGGAACCCACGCCGCCUCUGGGAGCUGGGAAAGGCAAGGGAGCAACAUCUCCCUGGAGCUCCAGAGUGAGCCAGCCCUGAUGACACUGCGACUUCAGCCCUCGGAGACUGGCUGUGGACAUCGGACCUCUGUCACUAACAGUGCUGCCCAGUUCCGUGGACCAAGCUGCUUCUGUGAGUGAAGGGUAGGGAAUCCAGGAAAGCAAGGCCAUCUCAUUUCUCAGGGACCCUCUGGCUCAUUGGAUGGCCUCAUCCCUUAAUCUUCUCCAAACUGAUGCUGGCCUCGCUGAAGACAUUCUGAGCUGGUGCCGUCAGCCUGAGCAGCACUUCACUCCAGUCCACCCGCACGUCACUCUAUUAUCCUGCACCCUGAAAAGACAUGGAUUUUGUUGAAGGGUGAAGUCAGUGCUAAGUGAUUGUGCAUUCAACCUUUCAUUACACAUGGUCCCCUGUGGUUCUCUAGUCCUUCUGGAGAAGCAAGCGUGAGACAGAUGCCUCGUCCGGUGAGGUUACUGACUUUCUGAGGAUGGGGAGCAAUCUUUCUUCAUUUGUACCAUGUCUCACCAAAUAGAUGAUAAACCACUGGAGGACAGGUGGCUCUCUCUGUACACAUCACUCACAAAUAUCCAUCUAUAGUCCCAAGCUCCUUCCCCUAAUCCAUGUCCUGUGUUCGGUGUUGGGCAAACUUUCCAGAUGUCAAGAUGCAGAAAAUUAGACCUGCAGCCCCCAGAGGAGCUGAGAUAAUGCUACUUCUUUCGAGAAGGGGCACAUGACAUCACCUGGCCUGUUGAAGCAGUGGACAGAGUGGGGUCUGGGGGAUCCUAACCAGAGUAGCUAGCCCUCCCCACCUGUGUGUCUUCUAUCUAUAGGCUCUGAAUCCAUGGAUUCAACCAUGUGGGGUAAAACUAUUCAAAAAACAUUGCAUAUGUGCUGAACAUGUACAA